UACCUGGUUGAUCCUGCCAGUAGUCAUAUGCUUGUCUCAAAGAUUAAGCCAUGCAAGUCUAAGUACGAGCUCUCGUACAGUGAAACUGCGAAUGGCUCAUUAAAUCAGUUAUGGUUCAUUUGAUCGUACAGUUUACUUGGAUAACUGUGGUAAUUCUAGAGCUAAUACAUGCGAGAAGCGCCGACCUCGCGGGAGGCGUGCAUUUAUCAGACCAAAAACCGGCCGCGUCUUCGGGCGCGUUCGCCUUGGUGACUCUGGAUAACUUUGCGGAUCGCACGGUCUAGCACCGGCGACGGAUCAUUCAAGUGUCUGCCCUA
rnacentral:ncRNA from 1 species